rnacentral:rRNA from 1 species
UACGUAGGGUGCGAGCGUUAAUCGGAAUUACUGGGCGUAAAGCGUGCGCAGGCGGUUCGUUAAGUUCGAUGUGAAAGCCCCGGGCUCAACCUGGGAACUGCAUUGGAAACUGGCGAGCUUGAAUGCGGCAGAGGGGGGUGGAAUUCCACGUGUAGCAGUGAAAUGCGUAGAUAUGUGGAGGAACACCGAUGGCGAAGGCAGCCCCCUGGGCUAACACUGACGCCUCAUGCACGAAAGCGUGGGGAGCAAACAGG